rnacentral:lncRNA from 1 species
AAAAAGGGCUGGCCUAGCCCAUGGAGGGCCGGCGCUUCAUGAGCCAGACCCAUUAGAGCCAAGCCCACGGGCUAGGCGCUUCAUGAGCCAGACCCAUUAGAGUUGGGCCGAAGAAGCCCUUUUGAUAAACGGGCCAUCAAAUAGACAGUCCGACUCUAGUCCUUAUAAAUGUAUGAUUUAAAUAGACCGAUCCUUAUAACUCAUCAAAAAAUUAAAAUAAUUAAAAAUUUAAAAAAUAAUAAAAAU